rnacentral:lncRNA from 10 species
UUGGUGGGGGUAAAAGUAUCUUCAAAUCGAUUGUGGUGAUGGUUAUACAACUCUGUGAAUAUAUUAAAAAAAUGGUACAGUUUAAAUGGAUGAAUUAUAUGAUACAAUAUGGUAUGUAAUUCUAUCUCAAUAAAGCUGUUUAAAAAUAACAUCAAAAGGACCCCAAGGUUUUAGCCUGUGCGGCAGGAGGAAUAGCUCAGUUGCUGACAAAAGCAGGAGAACAAGGAAAAGAGACAGCUGGGAGUUAAGCAGAAGGACUGAAUUCAGCGUGGGCUGUUGAAUCUAAGAUUUUGGCUGGCUGCUCGUGAAGAAACGCCUGCAGAAAGCUGUAAAUGCCGGCAGUGGCAGUGAGUGUGAUGGACAAGGCUAAAGAGAAGACUCAUGAACUUUCGGCACAAGAAACCAAAUCUUUACUGAGUGUGGUGGAAGAAUGCCCAGGUGAGCACAGGCACAGUGCCAGGUGCUGCAGAGGACCUGAGACAAAGAGUCACUGCGCCCUCAGAGAGUUUAGAAUCCAGCACUGAGGAAAAGAGAGGUCAUGGGGAGCACAGGUGGGUCCCACAAUCAUGGGAAGAAU